UUGUGUCAUUACACGGGUAAAAAUUGAUCAGGUUGUUCAAACAGUAGCGAACAAUGUUGUGCUGCACCCCGUGAACAAUAUUGUUAACAAGUUGUUCCGAGUUGUUCAGUCAUCAAUAUUGUUGCAAGUUGAUAACAUGAUUGUCAACAAGUUGCAACAACGUUGAUGGUUCAACAACAUUGUUAACAAUAUUGUUCACGGGGUGCAGCACAACAUUGUUCGCUCCUGUUGUGAACAACUUGCAUCAACAUGAUGAUUUUUACGCGUGUAUGUAAU